rfam:Callithrix jacchus chromosome X, whole genome shotgun sequence
AUUCUGUCUCAACAACAACAACAAAAAUUGCGAAGGCCCGCCAGGGUGGUGACACAAUGUGACUUCUGCACAGUGCUCUGAAUGUCAUAGUGAAGAAAUUCAAUGAAGCAUGGGUAAAUGGUGGCAGUAACUACGACUCUCUUAAAGUAGCCAAAUGCCUCAUCAUGUAAUUAGUGACACGCAUGAAUGGAUGAAUGAGAU